CAGCAAAGUGGUCUAUUUAAGGAUAUAAGUUUUGGGGACUUGGGGUCCCGUUGAAAAGGGCUUGUUGA
rnacentral:tRNA from 1 species